UCUCUCCUGUGUGAAUACCCUGUAGGGAGAGAUCCUUAGUUUAUGUGCCGCUAGCGCGGACAGGGCAUCCUCCUCCCUGUGUGUGUGAUUGGAAAAUGGGUGGGGGACAGUCUAAGGAUUCCCUCUCACCCACUAAGGGUACCCCAGCUUAUUUCAUGUACGUACAUUAUGGUACUAAAACCUGCAGGUAUUUAGAGAAUUGAAAUCAUUACACGCGUGAAAAAUUCAUCUAAACAAUGCCCACUAGAAGGUACCUUCAAUCUAGAUAAGAUCAUACAUCUCAGAGGAGCUUUUAAUCACCAAAAAGCCUCUGACACACAAUGGGAGCAAUUUGUCUAUUGAGGAAAGGAACGGGUUAAUUUGAAAUUCAGCUUGGUCCAGAGAUAAAGAGAAAGUUAAUCUGCGUUCAAGGUCAAGAAUCAAUGCAGACCAGGCUAAGUACAAAGAAAAACUGCUUUCGGCCCCAGCUGACUGUGAAAAAAUAUAGACAUAGUCAAACCAAAGGCAAUACAAGUUACAGUGCUGAGAUUACAUUUGCAAAGCUUAACUGUCCAGUGAGAUCCAACAGUCUGCCUUUGCGACCCUGGAGCCGGCGUGGUUUGGGGAUGCUGAAGAAGCCACAGGCAGCCGGCCUGGACUGGAAUCACUGAAAAGACGCCCCAGGAGACCUCAGGGUGUAAAAGAACUGCCCUCCCAAGAGAGGAAGCAAGUUGGAGAUUGCACAGCACCUUCUCUGAACGUUAUACACAGACGUGGCCAGUCUGGACGUACGUGUAUCAUCAGAGAAAACGGAUGCCAGCUGAACAGCAUUCAAUGUACCAUGCAUUUACUGGUUAAAAGAAGCCAAGAAGGGGAGAAGGAAAAAGAACAGAACGAGUUAACUGAGGAAAAAUAGCUAGCAAGCUCAGUCCAAAGAUAAGAUGCUGGCACCAUCCAAGGACACUGCCCACAGCUAAGACUUGGCUGAUAGCCAAGAAAAGGGGGGCCUGAAUGUGCCCAAGCAACUAUGAGAUCUGCAAAACACUGCCAGGCAUUAAUGAAAUGUGUUAGGUUUCUUUUCUCACAGAUAAAAGAAGUGCUACCCAAAGACCCUAGCAGCCCUGCCAUUCAUUGAAACAAGGAGACUGAGUCUACGUAAAGUCCAUCAACGAAAGACUGCUUUGGCUCCACACUGGAAAGGCCCUUUCCAAGUCCUGUUAACCACCACCACUAUGAAGUGCCAAGGACUACCUGCCUGGACCCAUGCUUCUCACUGUAAAAAGACCCCUCCAUCUCGGGAGGACUCUCCGACUGAUAAGCCUAUUUCUCCUUCUAGCUCUGCUGUGUCUUCUGGACAGCAGGAAAAAGAAAGAAAGAAAAAAAAAAGACAAGGUGAAGUGCUAGUAACCUCUCCCUUGUCCACUGACAGACCUACUGUGCCUCUGGAUUUUUCUAGAAGAAGCAAAACCAUUACAGGGUGAUGUGCUAGUAACCUCUCCCCUGUAUGAUGCUAAACCACACUGUUUCAGGAAAAGAGAAGAAGGAACACUUACUUCAUUGAAACCACAAAGUCCAGGGAUUCCUGACUACAAGAGACAUUAAGAACUGACCCUGGUGAAGAAACAAAGAAUUAUACACUGGCAGGAAGAAACUUGUGGGACCCAUGCUUGGGAACGUGGUAUUGAUUGGAUUUUGGGGUUUAUUCUACAGGCUGCGCCCUGUGUUUUGGAUAAGUCCUUCAGCAUGUAUUGCCCUCCCUAAUUGGAUUUUAAAUGAUAAGUACCAAAGGCACCUUGUUGCCAUUGCCCCUGCCAUCUCCUCCAUUACACUAUUACCCCUGUAACACAUCCAAAUACAGACAAUGCCAUAUAUUUGAUAAAACCAAUGACUAAGGCCUUCACACUUUAGUGAUUUAUUUAAAUAUUGUUUGAAAAAAUAUAUUUUUAAGGUUCAGGAUAUCCCAUAUAAGCGAACAAUUGAAUGGAUCAGUGGAGAUAAAAGUAUAUGAUAUCACUACCAGUGAACCCCAAGAAUUUAUAAUUGUUCACAGGGGGCUGCCAUUAGAUUAGCACAACAGAGGGCUUGGGUUAUUUCCUCUAGAAAGAAGAGAGACUUGACCGGAUCCCUUUGGGAUGGGGCCAAUAAUGCAGCAGCAGUUUGGAAUAUUUUUAAGAACCAAGAACAUGAUGAGAAAUUGGGGCAACUAGAGAAGGCCAUUGGCCUUGUUUCUGGAGCACAACUAACCCAGGUACAGGCUGGAGUUGGUGUGUUACAUGUUAUUUCCGCCCUUAGUUCAAUGACCCAGAAGUUGCUGACAGAGAUGGUAUUGAAUAUCACUGAGGCUGGGAAGGCAUUGCAGUGGGAUCUAGCAUGCUCAGAAAUUCAGGAUUUCCUGAAUGACCAGCUAAUGGCCAUUCGGAAUGAUCUAGAGCAUCAGGCUUGGCCCACUGCCCUUACAGACACAUCAGGAGUACCAUCUGAUCUGUGGCCAUGGAGACACACUUGGAAACUUUCUGGGUGGAAGUGUGGACGUUCUCAGUGCUCCUUCCAAACAUAUGGACCGGUUCAGGGGGUGUGGGCUCCCACAUACCGAAUCCUGCCAGGUCCAUGGGAGAGGUUGCAUGUGGGAUUGGGUAAUUCACCGAGACAUCUGGGAAAUUAGACCUCCUGGUAUGCCCAAUCGAUUUUUAGUCAGUGCUCCUGGGAUUACAUCUGACAUUUGGAUGGGGUUAGGGAGUCAAUGGACAUUUUGGCCGUUACAACCCCCACAGCUUCAGUGUAUCCGUAAACUGAAGCCAGGAGAAGUUGUUACUCUUCAUGACUACGUUUGCUAGGAGGGUAGGGGACAAGGAACUACCCUGACAGGACACUUAUUUUUUUAAGCUAAUGAUAGCUGUGUGUAUGUUAAAGCCACCAUAUUGCAAGACAUACAUUUUAAUCUCAUUACCACUGCAGGCAAUCAUAUUAUUUACUGGCCUGCAGAUAGAAUUUUGCAAGUAGUCCUUAGGUUCCAGAUACCCUUUAAUUGGACUAGUUUAGUACCUGAUAGAUUUCAAAAUUUGCUUUCACUGUUACCAGAGGUUCAGAAAAUCUCUGAAGUACAAGGGCAAAUUCACAUGCUUCAAAAUAUGUAUCAAGUUAAAAAGUAUGCCUUUCAGACAGCUUAUAGAGUAUCCACCUUAUGUACUAAGUAUGAUGUAUUGUGUUAUAUGACUAAGAUUGUACAACAACCCCAUCAUAUUAUUGCUAUGGGAAUCUUAUUGCUUGUGUUGUGCAGGAGUAUGUUAUUGUUGUUGUAAAGGACGUAAUAAUAGUAAUACCUUUCAUGUCCAUGCUCAUCAUGCAUUGUCAUUACAUCCAAUCAAAACCCCUAAGGUUGAAGCAUCUGAUGUAGAAUCUGAAUUCCGAGAUUUAAUGCAAAUAGAGAUUUGAAA